rfam:Cupriavidus sp. TSMAA2-4 chromosome 1, complete sequence.
UUGAGCCGUAUGCGGGGAAACUCGCACGUACGGUUCUUAGGGGGGAGCAGGCCAGCAAUGGUCUGCUCCUACCCUAC